CAACAGAGUGAUUUUAAUGUGUGUUUACAAAUUGUGACACUUGUUCUAUCCAGAGAUAGAGCUGAAUCUCCCUCCCAGCGAAUGUGAGCUGCUCUUAUUGAAUAGCAUAAGGCCUACAAUGCAUAGGAUAUGACAUAAGUGACAGUAUAUGCCUUAAAAGACUACAUCAUAAAAGGCACUGAAGCUGCCCGCUUGUUCUUUCUUGGAUGUCUUGCGCUGGGAGAAGCCAGAGUUGCCAUGUCACGAGGAACUCAAGCAGCCGCAAGGAAAGGCCCAUGUGAUGAGAACGGAGACAGCCUGCCAGCAGCCAUGUGAAUGAGGCCUAUUGGAAGUAGAUCCUCCAGCCCCAGUUAAACUUUCAGAUGUUUGUAGCCUGGGAGAUGUUCCCUGAAACCCCAUGAGAGAGCCUGAGCAGCACCUGCCAUCUGAGCCACUCCCAGAUGACCCACAGAGACUGAGAUAAUAAUGUUCACUGUUUUAGUAGGGUUUCCAUUGCUCAAGCACGUUGCCUAAAGGCAGCCUCUGCCGUGGACUUGAGGAAGCAGAAACUCUGGAGCAGGCCCAGGUGGAGUCUGGGGAACAGUAGGGUAAGAAGCCCAUUGUCCAUGAGGAACCCAUCUGGCUGACAACUGUCCUGAUUUACUUGGGAUGGAGGGUAUUUCCAAGAUCUGAGCCCUUCAGUUUACUGGAUGCCUUUGACUUUGCAGAUGAUUUGGAAGCAUUAGUUGCAAAGGUAUACAUUUACCUCUCUGGUUACACAAAAGAAUAGAAAUGCACAAGAUGAGUUUGUGCUGUUCCAAGGAAUGACUUUCGUACAAUCUGCAGAUUCUAGGUUCCGUCAGAAAGUCAAUACUCCCUCUCCACCUCCACUGCUGCCAAUAAUUAAAGCUGCUGAAGAAGAGUGAGUUUUUAAUGCAGUGUCCCCACCUUUCUUACUUCCUUUACUUUGAACUCUCAGUUCCUGUCUUUUUUGGCCUUUUAUCUUCCCUGAAUACACCCUGGCUUGGGUAGAAUUGUCAAAUCAUCUACCCUGUCAGCA